rnacentral:rRNA from 1 species
GAUGAACGCUGGCGGCGUGCCUAAUACAUGCAAGUCGAGCGAACGGACGAGAAGCUUGCUUCUCUGAUGUUAGCGGCGGACGGGUGAGUAACACGUGGAUAACCUACCUAUAAGACUGGGAUAACUUCGGGAAACCGGAGCUAAUACCGGAUAAUAUUUUGAACCGCAUGGUUCAAAAGUGAAAGACGGUCUUGCCGUCACUUAUAGAUGGAUCCGCGCUGCAUUAGCUAGUUGGUAAGGUAACGGCCUACCAAGGCAACGAUGCAUAGCCGACCUGAGAGGGUGAUCGGCCACACUGGAACUGAGACACGGUCCAGACUCCUACGGGAGGCAGCAGUAGGGAAUCUUCCGCAAUGGGCGAAAGCCUGACGGAGCAACGCCGCGUGAGUGAUGAAGGUCUUCGGAUCGUAAAACUCUGUUAUUAGGGAAGAACAUAUGUGUAAGUAACUGUGCACAUCUUGACGGUACCUAAUCAGAAAGCCACGGCUAACUACGUG